AAAGUGUAAAGAAAUUUAUAUAACGACAGCGUAUUUUUUUGUCACAAGGAAAAUGCGAUGAAAUUCCAGAUACUUCAUGAGACUGAAAUUUAUGAGACUCCUUAUAUCUUUAGCUGUUCCCAGUACUAAACGCUUUUCUUUUCCCCUAUUUACUUCUAUUAUUUUUUGCAGACAUCAUAUUCCUGCCAUUUUCGUAGACUCACGGCUUGAAAUUUUGACCGCCAUGUUUAUAUAACACGCGUUAGCACGUUGUUAGGUACUUCUUAUGUACAAAAUUCUCGUUAAGUUCAAAUUAUAGAAUUUUUUCACAAUCUAAGACCGUGUUUUUCACUUGUUUUAUAUUAGGAUAUGGUUAUGGCAAAGGUGUUUACUUUGCAAGGGAUGCGUCGAUGUCCGUUGGUUACGCUCCGGCACACUGGGCAGGAAAGAGAUACAUGUACUACUCAAGAGUAGCAGUUGGGCAGUAUGCUGUAGGUAAUCAAAGCAUGUUAGUGCCACCACAGAAAAGAGGCUAUGGUAAUGAUUCCUAUGAUUCUACUGUCAACAACGCCAGAAAUGCCACAGUUUUUGUUUUGUAUUAUGAUAAUCAAUAUUAUCCAGAAUACUUAAUCACCUUUGUUUAGAUGAAGAUAAAUGAGAAAGUGUUAUACAAUAUAGGUAUCGAGGUCGUUAGACCUCAUUUGUGCUAUAGGUGGAUUGCAAUCUAUCUCUUACUCAUUAAGACAAUGAAACGACGGUCAUAUUAGUGCCAAAUCCAAUGGAAGAUGAUUAUAUUAUUUUGUUGAAAUACCACCAACAUGGUUUCCGUAAUGUACCGUCCAAUCGACAUACUAGAUACCUCAAGAUUACCGUUUAAUUACGGCAGACCGCUAACCUCAAACUUCAACGGUAUUUGAAGUUUACAAGUUUCUACAAGUUUACAACAGCAAAGUAGCUAAUUCAUGCUUCUAUUUUUAGUAUUUUUAUGCACAAAUUGUAUUCAAUCAGCUAACAGUUGACACAAUUCAUAAAGUUUGCACUAGUUUGCCUAUUGCGGCUGGCAGUGUGCCGUAAACGUCAAUCCUAAGGUCUCUAUAUUUAUUCUGAUUUCAAUCUCAGUUUCAGAAACAACUAUAACAAAACGUGGAAAACGGCACUUACAAAUUUAGGUUCGAUAUAAUUUUGAGCAGGUAAUUGGGCAACUCCAUCUCAGGGUUUAUUUUAAGAAAAAUUUAGAACUGCACAUAUUAAGGAUGUUAGGGGCGGACCAUUAGAAAAUGGGGGAGGGGGGGUGGCAAUUUUUUCGGGCAGGAUAUUUUUUUUUGCAACAACGUUGUGCAAGAUUUUUUUUUUCAGCCAUGCUUGUGUUGCACGAUUUUUUUUUAAAGGAAUGUGAA